rnacentral:tRNA from 1 species
GUCGGGAUAGCUCAGCUGCAGGGUCAGAUGUGUAUAAGAGACAGUGUCACCAGUUCAAAUCUGGUUCCUGGCA